rnacentral:tRNA from 1 species
CAACCAUUAGUAUAAAGUAUAUUAAAUUUAGAAUUUGAAGGUAUAUCGGUUGA